GUGCGAGACCGAUAGCGAACAAGUACCGUGAGGGAAAGAUGAAAAGAACUUUGAAAAGAGAGUUAAAGAGUACCUGAAGCUGCUGAAAGGGAAGCGAAUCGUAUCCAGUGUCUAUAAUCUGCGGCAUAUUUCAUUGGCGGCGGUGCGCGUGCUUUUGCGUCGGAAGCGGCUUUUGUUGCUCUGUGCUUUUGCCGUGCGUGGUGUUGCUGGUGCCCUGUGUUGCGGUGGGACGUCAGAGUCAGUUUGUAUGCUGCGGGAAAUGGCUGCCGAGGAGGUAGGUCGAGAUUUCGGUCUUGGCUGUUAUAUCUUGGUGGUUUGUUGUCGUGGUUGAGACUGAGGUGCCUACAAUGUGCUUUUGAGUGUACCGGGUUCUCAUUUGGUGGACUGUUUGGAUAGCUUGCUAUGCUUGUGGUAUUUUCAUCGGGUGAUUGAGUCUGGUGGUAACUUGUUGCUGUUCGGGACUUUGA
rnacentral:rRNA from 2 species